rnacentral:rRNA from 1 species
CCCUUCGGGGGUGCUCGAGCGGCGAACGGGUGAGUAACACGUGAGUAAUCUGCCCCUGGCUUUGGGAUAACCCUCGGAAACGGGGGCUAAUACCGGGUAUUCAUCUUCUGCGGCAUCGUGGGGGGUGGAAAGUUUUGGCGGCUGGGGAUGGGCUCGCGGCCUAUCAGCUUGUUGGUGGGGUAAUGGCCUACCAAGGCGUCGACGGGUAGCCGGCCUGAGAGGGCGACCGGCCACACUGGGACUGAGACACGGCCCAGACUCCUACGGGAGGCAGCAGUGGGGAAUAUUGCACAAUGGGCGAAAGCCUGAUGCAGCGACGCCGCGUGAGGGAUGACGGCCUUCGGG